rnacentral:misc_RNA from 2 species
UGUGGGAGCGGGCUUGCUCGCGAAGGCGGCUUAUCAGUCAGAGCCAAUGUCGCCUGAUACAUCGCCUUCGCGAGCAAGCCCGCUCCCACA